rnacentral:lncRNA from 1 species
UCCGGCCGGGGGGCUGCCCCGGGCAGGGGAGGGCGGCCGGGACUCCCGCGGCGGCCCCGGCCUGGACCCAGGCGCCGCCCCCGCCUCGCUGGAGACGCGGAGGGCGAGGCCUGCGCGGGCUGCCUGAGCGCCACCCAGGCCUCCCGACUCCCAGGCACCGCCUCGUGCUCGUGGGUCCCCGCGGGGCCUGGGGCGGGCGCCCCGCUCCCCCACCGCAGCCAGUCCGGGUGCGAAGCCGCGAUCCCGGGAGCCCUUGCCGCGGCGUGCCGGUGAUGUUGACCCAACACACGAGAAACAGCACCCAGGACUAUCUUCCAAAGAGUUCUGGAUAUCCUAAAGAAAUCUUCUCAUGCUGUUGAGCUUGCCUGCAGAGAUCCAUCCCAAGUGGAAAACCUGGCUUCCAGUCUGCAGUUAAUAACAGAAUGCUUCAGGUGUCUUCGCAAUGCUUGCAUAGAGUGUUCUGUGAACCAGAAUUCAAUCAGGAACUUGGAUACGAUUGGUGUUGCUGUUGAUUUGAUUCUUCUGUUUCGUGAACUGCGAGUGGAACAGGAAUCUCUGUUGACAGCUUUUCGCUGUGGCCUGCAGUUUUUAGGCAACAUUGCCUCACGGAAUGAAGAUUCCCAGUCUAUUGUUUGGGUGCAUGCUUUCCCAGAACUGUUUUUGUCUUGCUUAAAUCAUCCGGACAAAAAAAUUGUUGCCUACUCUUCAAUGAUUUUGUUUACAUCCCUUAAUCAUGAAAGAAUGAAAGAACUGGAGGAGAACCUCAAUAUUGCAAUUGAUGUCAUAGAUGCUUACCAAAAACAUCCUGAAUCAGAAUGGCCGUUCUUGAUUAUUACAGACCUCUUUCUGAAAAGCCCGGAAUUGGUACAAGCC